AAGUCGUAACAAGGUCUCCGUUGGUGAACCAGCGGAGGGAUCAUUAGUGAGACUUAGCGCUCCAACCCUUGCGAACAUUACCCUAUUGCGGCGUUGCUUCGGCGGGCUUGCUGGCGGGGUGCGCCUCUGGAUUCUUUUUGGUCCGGGGCGCGCUUCGCCUGCAGUCCGGCCUGGCCAGCUGGGUCCCGCCGGCAGCGUCAAACUCUUCAGUUUUAUAGUGGAAAAGUUUUCUGAGUGGCAAAAAUACAAAUAAGCAAAACUUUCAACAACGGAUCUCUUGGUUCUG
rnacentral:misc_RNA from 1 species